rnacentral:rRNA from 1 species
UACGUAGGGGGGCGAGCGUUGUCCGGAAUUAUUGGGCGUAAAGGGCGUGUAGGCGGCCGAUCAAGUCAGGUGUGAAAUUCCAGGGCUCAACCCUGGACGUGCACUUGAAACUGGUUGGCUUGAGUGCAGAAGAGGAAAGUGGAAUUCCCAGUGUAGCGGUGAAAUGCGUAGAUAUUGGGAGGAACACCAGUGGCGAAGGCGACUUUCUGGUCUGUAACUGACGCUGAGGCGCGAAAGCUAGGGGAGCAAACAGG